rnacentral:rRNA from 1 species
UCAGCCGAGACUUACCUCUCGGUGCAUUUCCCGAGUCUGGACGGGCCAGCAUCGGUUUCGACCGUCGUAAAAAGGCGUGAGGAAUGUGGCACCCUCGGGUGUGUUAUAGCCUCUCGUCGUAUGCGACGGACGGGACCGAGGAACGCAGCGCGCCCCUCGCGGGGCCGGGGUUCGCCCACGUAACGCGCUUAGGAUGCUGGCGUAAUGGCUUUAAGCGACCCGUCUUGAAACACGGACCAAGGAGUCUAACAUGCUCGCGAGUGUUCGGGUGGAAAACCCGUGCGCGUAAUGAAAGUGAAAGGUUGGGACCCCUCGUUUGGGGGCACCGACGCCCGGACUCGAGCUUCUGCAAAGGUUCCGAGGCAGAGCGCGUAUGUUGGGACCCGAAAGAUGGUGAACUAUGCCUGAGUAGGGCGAAGCCAGAGGAAACUCUGGUGGAGGCUCGUAGCGAUUCUGACGUGCAAAUCGAUCGUCGAACUUGGGUAUAGGGGCGAAAGACUAAUCGAACCAUCUAGUAGCUGGUUCCCGCCGAAGUUUCCCUCAGGAUAGCAGAGACUCGUAUCAGUUUUAUGUGGUAAAGCGAAUGAUUAGGGGCCUUGGGGUCGAAACGACCUUAACCCAUUCUCAAACUUUAAAUAUGUAAGAACGGGCGGUCGC